CUAAUACCGCAUAAUGUCUUCGGACCAAACAGGGCUUCGGCUCUGGCGCAAAGAGAGGCCCAAGUGAGAUUAGCUAGUUGGUGAGGUAAAGGCUCACCAAGGCAACGAUCUCUAGCUGUUCUGAGAGGAAGAUCAGCCACACUGGGACUGAGACACGGCCCAGACUCCUACGGGAGGCAGCAGUGGGGAAUAUUGCACAAUGGGGGAAACCCUGAUGCAGCCAUGCCGCGUGUGUGAAGAAGGCCUUCGGGUUGUAAAGCACUUUCAGUUGUGAGGAAAAGUUAGUAGUUAAUACCUGCUAGCCGUGACGUUAACAACAGAAGAAGCACCGGCUAACUCCGUGCCAGCAGCCGCGGUAAUACGGAGGGUGCGAGCGUUAAUCGGAAUUACUGGGCGUAAAGCGCACGCAGGCGGUUUGUUAAGCUAGAUGUGAAAGCCCCGGGCUCAACCUGGGACGGUCAUUUAGAACUGGCAGACUAGAGUCUUGGAGAGGGGAGUGGAAUUCCAGGUGUAGCGGUGAAAUGCGUAGAUAUCUGGAGGAACAUCAGUGGCGAAGGCGACUCCCUGGCCAAAGACUGACGCUCAUGUGCGAAAGUGUGGGUAGCGAACAGGAUUAGAUACCCUGGUAGUCCACACCGUAAACGCUGUCUACUAGCUGUUUGUGACUUUAAGUCGUGAGUAGCGAAGCUAACGCGAUAAGUAGACCGCCUGGGGGAGUACGGCCGCAAGGUUAAAACUCAAAUGAAUUGACGGGGGGCCCGCACAAGCGGUGGGAGCAUGUGGGUUUAAUUCGAUGCAACGCGAAGAACCUUACCUACACUUGACAUGUUGAGAAGUUACCAGAGAUGGUUUCGUGCCUUCGGGGAACUCAAACACAGGUGCUGCAUGGGCUGUCGUCAGCUCGUGUUCGUGGAGAUGUUGGGUUAAGUUC
rnacentral:rRNA from 1 species